rnacentral:lncRNA from 1 species
UUUUUUUUUUUUUUUUUUAUCAAAAGCACCGGAACCCAAACGGGGCCUUAGUAACUACCAAAUUUUCUGAAUGACUUCAAGAACCUAAUCAUCUUAUCAUACACGUCUUCCUUUGAUCUUACACUCAGGAGGAAGUCUAUGUGACCGUAUUCCUCAAGAAAAAGCACCUCUGGCUGUCUUUUUAGUUCCUUCAGCGUGCGCUGCACAUCAGUAACGUCAGCUAAUGAAUCGUUACCCCCAUAAGCCAUCCACAAUGGUAAAGAAUUCGGAAUGCUGCUAACAUCAAAUGCUGGAGGCCAAAACCGUCCAUAGCGUAUCAGGUUCUUAAAGAUUCCAUAAUCAUACUUUCUGAAAGUACCUUCACGGAUCACUGGAAAAAAAACACAAUUCAAUGGGUAGGAACUAGGAGAGUAAGAGCGAAUGUAUGAGAAAAAAUGAGGAAAAAAGCUACACAGACUUAGCCUGAUAUAGCAAGUUUGAAUAACUUCAGCAAACCAAAAGGCCAAAGACAAUGAUAUCCUGCUAGUGCAUACUUUGAAAAAGAUGAUUCAGAUUCUUUGAGGAUGUAGGUUGUGGUUCAUAUUCGAGAUAGAAAUUGAUCCGGGAGUUGUUGAAGCAACAGUUCUUUCCUGAAAGGUUAAUCCACCAUUUAAUAAGAUACAGAUGGCAAUAUAAUAGUUUAACCAUUCUAAACACUCGAAUAAUUACUUCCCAACUUGCUCUACAGUGCUAGAUUGCUAGCAGAAAAGCAAAGCAGAAAAGUUUGUCAUGAAAGGAAUUUUUUUUUUAAAGGCCAAAUAACAGAACAUGAAUAAGGACCUGUAACCGGAGUAAGCAACUCAUUGCAAUUCACAUAUUCACUGCAUAAUAUGUCCAUCAUAUGGGUGCUGCAGUCACUGAAUAGAUAACAGAACAGAAAGGAUUAUAUAAACCGAAGAUAUGUGGAAACCUGACCGAAAGAAAGAGCCAAAAUUAAUAAGACCUUUUGAAAUUAAGUUCAUGAAUGCCCAUCACACAUAACACCUGCUUAGAGAAAAAUGACAACUUAAGCACACUGACAAAUAAGCCCUGAUGGGAAUGCUCAAAAAGAAACCACACAAACCUCAUCAAUAUGCAUUUUCACUAAUCUUAGGACAAAAGACGAACUUAUAUGAUCCAAAUAUGAGAUAGGAGAAAGAAGCGCAGCAGCUUCAACCAUUGAUACUAUAUGUGGUUGAGUAAAAGCAGCCAGAGACAUUAUUGUUCCCUGCAAAAUAAAGCAAAGGACAUCGAAUAUCAGAAAAACAAAAACCAACAACCAAAUGAAGAUAUAACAUAUAGUUCUCAAGAGAUUCAAGACCUGUGAAUGACCAACAAUAAAUAUUUUUGAGUUGGUGAUGUUAUAAAUAUAACGAGCCAUUCCUUCCAGAUCAUACAGAGCCAAUUCCUGCCAACUCCAAUCCCAAAAAUCCUAAAAACCAAGAGAAGAAACCAUUAAAGCAAGAGGGUUCAUAAAGCACAUCUAGUUUAUGCAAAAAGAAUAUUUUUGCUGCAUCCCAAAUCAGGACAAGACCAUGCAGAAGUAACUUGUGAAAUAAAUUCUACACAUAGAGGGGGGAUGGUGGUCCACCACUCCUGCUCUUCCGAGCAUUAACCAUUUGAUGGCUACGACUUCAAAGCAAUUCAUAUUUAUACCUUGCUUUUACCUGAGUAAUCAAAUCAUGACAAGUCAAUAUAUGAAUGUAAUUUGAAAACCUGUACUACAUUACAAUUUCCAACAGUUACAGAACUUAAAGAUUAUAACCAGAUGUCAAAGACAAGCUAUAAAUACCUUGUCUUUUUCUGUCAGAUGGACAUGUCGACGACUCCAAUGUGUCCCACGCACAUUUCCAGCCCAAACAUCAAAGCCAUGAUCAGCCAGGAUAAACCCCAAUGAUUGAUUUGGAGAGUUCAAGAACCAGGCAUCACCUGCCUGUUAUAUUUUUCAGUUGCUCAAUUGUUAAUAUACGAGACUGCUACCCAAUCCUUUCUUUAUAUUACAUUCACAAAAUGGAAGGGGGGGAGGCGGGGAGGACAAUUACAAUUUCUGUGAGUCUAGAUAAGGCUAAUCAUGCUUGUUAAAGAUCUUUGUAAUAAUAAAGUAGCAUUUCCUAUAGAUGCGAAAGCCAUUUUAGCUUAUAAUUUUAACCAAAACCAAGAUGCACGGACGAAAUAAUUUACAGCUUACACACUGAACUUUGACAUAGUAUUACUCUUACAGCUUGAAUAUGCACACAUUUAUGGAGGCACCAAAGCACUAAGAAUGCUCAAUUCCGAUAAGCAACAAAUCUAACUAAAGAAGAUAGUGAACUGAAAAAUAAACUUUUGUACCAUAAAACAGUUUUGGCUGCACAAAGUAGCAACCGUAAUGAUGAUUGGUAAAUAUCUUCCAUAGAAUUGGAAUUUGAAAGAACGAAUAGAGCUAAAUUCAAAUGUGGCCUCUCCACUAUGAUUUUUUUUUUUUUUCUAAAAAAAAUAAAAUAAAAUAGAAAUCAUGUAAACAAAUUAUUUUAGGAGAGAUUACCAUCAUUAGCCCGUGAAGGAGAAGAACUGGAGGACCGUAUUGCCCUCUGAGAUAUCUGGAGUUAGAUGCCACCCGCUGAAGUCCAAGCAAGUAACCAUCAUUUGUUUGUGCCUGGAUCAACAAUUCCACAUUCUUAAACUAAAUCACCUGCACGCUAUAUUUCAGAAAAAUCGUCUACAGCUUAGUCACGCCUUCAAUACGUAGGUAGACAAAAAAGUAAGAUCAAUGAUUAAUGAAAUUUAUUCAUGUGUACCACUGUACACAAAUACUAUAUUCAACAAAGAACGAUACGUAGAUAGAGAUAGAGAUUCUACGGUGUGCUCGGAGCAAGGAUAGCCAUAAGGUUGGAUGAGGUGAGCACAGAGACCAUCUGCCGGAGAAUUGGGAAGGCGAAUAUAUGAAACUCUGGCGGAUUCUCCGGCUGAACUGAGGAGUAAUACACUGAGCAACAAAACCGUCACCAGACGCUCCAUUUUCAGGCCACUGGAGUGCGGAAAACACAGCGGAACGACGGACCAACGGGCUGGGACCUCCCGGGAGAGGAGAGUGUGGAGUCUCACAAUGCUCCAGAAGAAAGAUGCGUUCGCAGGAAACCGAACGAGACAGUCAAGGACCUGAGAAGCUCCGCCCCUGUGUCGGUCAAGGACCUGCAUUUCUAAAAAAAUUCAACCCUUUCUGAAAAAUUUCUUGUUUGGGUCUCCUCGAAUCCUCCGUUCCCUUUACUGUACAGUAUACAGUAAGAAUAGACAUAGAAUCGCAUCUAAGUAUCUAACGUGAAAAAAAAAAAAAAAAACUUCUAAUACAAGAGUAAUAGCUAGUUUGGGAGGAUGGAAAUGAAAAGAAAAGAAGAGAAAUGAUAAGUUAGAAAAGAAAAGAAAGGAUCAAAGUUUCUAUCUAAAUUGUUUGGAAGUUUUAAAAAAGAAAAGAAAGUGAGUAGUUUUCUUUUGUUUGGGAGUUGAAUGUAAAAGAAAAGAAAAGAUACUUAAACAAAUUAUUUUACAAAUAUGCCCUUUCUAUAAACAAAUGUGAGAAGGAUUCAUCGGGUAUUAAAAUGUUUUGUAUCAGGAUUUUAAGGAUAAUUUGGUCAUAUUGAAAAAUUUACUUAAACUUCUGUCCGUUCCUUCCCUUUCCGCCCAACAUUGGGCGGAAAGUUUUCCAAAAGAUGAAGUGGAGUGGAAUCUUUCCUAUUCCUUUCUUUUCCUUCUCAUUUUAACUCCCAAACAAUGAAAAAACUUUUUUAUCCCUUCAAAACCUUUCUUUUCUUUUCAUUUCCAUCCUCCCAAACUAGCUAUAAGGGUAGAUAUAUAAUAGAAUCUAACGUGUUAAAAAAAAAAAAAGAAGAAAGAUAGAGUAUAAAGAGAGAGAUUCUCUUCUGUCCACUUGGUACCGACACAAACGCUCUCUUACAGCGCGUCCGGUAUACCUUUCUUUGCUCAAGAGCCAAGCAUAACGUCAGUUGAUGAAGCGGAUCUAGGAGUGGGCUAUAAAAGCUCACCUAUUUGGGCUAUAACAGUACAACAAUCAUGGGCUUGUCACUGGUCGAUAUUUAAAAAUCAGGCUAGUCCGCUGAGCUAAUUGUUUAAGAACUUUUAACAUUUCCGAUACUAAACUUUCGUAUUGUGGGCUCCAACAGAGAACGGGCUUGUCGUUGCAAGUGCCGUGGAAUCCAUUGCACUAAUUAGAGUGAAUAGGUAUCCCAAAUUCCGCUCAACCGGUCAAGAGUGACUUGCACGGUAAUCAUGAGAUUUUCGAUCUGUUUGGAGUUGCGACAGCUUAUUUAAAAAUACUACUCCUGUAAAGUUUUGAAUAAAAAUAUUUAUUAACUGCUAAGUGCUUUUAAAUUUAUUAUUUGGAGAGACACAGUUUAAUCAGUACUUAUUGUAUUAAAUAAUGUGUAAUUUAAAUUUUAAAAAAAAUAUCUAUCUCUUUAUUUGGUAUAACAUAUAAUUAAAUUUGAUGUUUUAUUUUUUAAAUCAUAAAAACUACUCUAAAAGCACUAAAUUUGAGCUUUUGUUAAAGUGCUUUUAACACCAAAAAUUCUACUCCUAAUUUUAUGGGAUGAUAUUCACCAAACAUUUUAAAAGUACUUUUUAACACAUAAAAGUGCUUUUUUCUUAUCAAAAGCACCGGAACCCAAACGGGGCCUUAGUAACUACCAAAUUUUCUGAAUGACUUCAAGAACCUAAUCAUGUCAUCAUACAAGUCUUCCUUUGAUCUUACACUCAGGAGGAAGUCUAUGUGACCGUAUUCCUCAAGAAAAAGCACCUCUGGCUGUCUUUUUAGUUCCUUCAGCGUGCGCUGCACAUCAGUAACGUCAGCUAAUGAAUCGUUACCCCCAUAAGCCAUCCACAAUGGUAAAGAAUUCGGAAUGCUGCUAACAUCAAAUGCUGGAGGCCAAAACCGUCCAUAGCGUAUCAGGUUCUUAAAGAUUCCAUAAUCAUACUUUCUGAAAGUACCUUCACGGAUCACUGGAAAAAAAACACAAUUCAAUGGGUAGGAACUAGGAGAGUAAGAGCGAAUGUAUGAGAAAAAAUGAGGAAAAAAGCUACACAGACUUAGCCUGAUAUAGCAAGUUUGAAUAACUUCAGCAAACCAAAAGGCCAAAGACAAUGAUAUCCUGCUAGUGCAUACUUUGAAAAAGAUGAUUCAGAUUCUUUGAGGAUGUAGGUUGUGGUUCAUAUUCGAGAUAGAAAUUGAUCCGGGAGUUGUUGAAGCAACAGUUCUUUCCUGAAAGGUUAAUCCACCAUUUAAUAAGAUACAGAUGGCAAUAUAAUAGUUUAACCAUUCUAAACACUCGAAUAAUUACUUCCCAACUUGCUCUACAGUGCUAGAUUGCUAGCAGAAAAGCAAAGCAGAAAAGUUUGUCAUGAAAGGAAUUUUUUUUUUAAAGGCCAAAUAACAGAACAUGAAUAAGGACCUGUAACCGGAGUAAGCAACUCAUUGCAAUUCACAUAUUCACUGCAUAAUAUGUCCAUCAUAUGGGUGCUGCAGUCACUGAAUAGAUAACAGAACAGAAAGGAUUAUAUAAACCGAAGAUAUGUGGAAACCUGACCGAAAGAAAGAGCCAAAAUUAAUAAGACCUUUUGAAAUUAAGUUCAUGAAUGCCCAUCACACAUAACACCUGCUUAGAGAAAAAUGACAACUUAAGCACACUGACAAAUAAGCCCUGAUGGGAAUGCUCAAAAAGAAACCACACAAACCUCAUCAAUAUGCAUUUUCACUAAUCUUAGGACAAAAGACGAACUUAUAUGAUCCAAAUAUGAGAUAGGAGAAAGAAGCGCAGCAGCUUCAACCAUUGAUACUAUAUGUGGUUGAGUAAAAGCAGCCAGAGACAUUAUUGUUCCCUGCAAAAUAAAGCAAAGGACAUCGAAUAUCAGAAAAACAAAAACCAACAACCAAAUGAAGAUAUAACAUAUAGUUCUCAAGAGAUUCAAGACCUGUGAAUGACCAACAAUAAAUAUUUUUGAGUUGGUGAUGUUAUAAAUAUAACGAGCCAUUCCUUCCAGAUCAUACAGAGCCAAUUCCUGCCAACUCCAAUCCCAAAAAUCCUAAAAACCAAGAGAAGAAACCAUUAAAGCAAGAGGGUUCAUAAAGCACAUCUAGUUUAUGCAAAAAGAAUAUUUUUGCUGCAUCCCAAAUCAGGACAAGACCAUGCAGAAGUAACUUGUGAAAUAAAUUCUACACAUAGAGGGGGGAUGGUGGUCCACCACUCCUGCUCUUCCGAGCAUUAACCAUUUGAUGGCUACGACUUCAAAGCAAUUCAUAUUUAUACCUUGCUUUUACCUGAGUAAUCAAAUCAUGACAAGUCAAUAUAUGAAUGUAAUUUGAAAACCUGUACUACAUUACAAUUUCCAACAGUUACAGAACUUAAAGAUUAUAACCAGAUGUCAAAGACAAGCUAUAAAUACCUUGUCUUUUUCUGUCAGAUGGACAUGUCGACGACUCCAAUGUGUCCCACGCACAUUUCCAGCCCAAACAUCAAAGCCAUGAUCAGCCAGGAUAAACCCCAAUGAUUGAUUUGGAGAGUUCAAGAACCAGGCAUCACCUGCCUGUUAUAUUUUUCAGUUGCUCAAUUGUUAAUAUACGAGACUGCUACCCAAUCCUUUCUUUAUAUUACAUUCACAAAAUGGAAGGGGGGGAGGCGGGGAGGACAAUUACAAUUUCUGUGAGUCUAGAUAAGGCUAAUCAUGCUUGUUAAAGAUCUUUGUAAUAAUAAAGUAGCAUUUCCUAUAGAUGCGAAAGCCAUUUUAGCUUAUAAUUUUAACCAAAACCAAGAUGCACGGACGAAAUAAUUUACAGCUUACACACUGAACUUUGACAUAGUAUUACUCUUACAGCUUGAAUAUGCACACAUUUAUGGAGGCACCAAAGCACUAAGAAUGCUCAAUUCCGAUAAGCAACAAAUCUAACUAAAGAAGAUAGUGAACUGAAAAAUAAACUUUUGUACCAUAAAACAGUUUUGGCUGCACAAAGUAGCAACCGUAAUGAUGAUUGGUAAAUAUCUUCCAUAGAAUUGGAAUUUGAAAGAACGAAUAGAGCUAAAUUCAAAUGUGGCCUCUCCACUAUGAUUUUUUUUUUUUUUCUAAAAAAAAUAAAAUAAAAUAGAAAUCAUGUAAACAAAUUAUUUUAGGAGAGAUUACCAUCAUUAGCCCGUGAAGGAGAAGAACUGGAGGACCGUAUUGCCCUCUGAGAUAUCUGGAGUUAGAUGCCACCCGCUGAAGUCCAAGCAAGUAACCAUCAUUUGUUUGUGCCUGGAUCAACAAUUCCACAUUCUUAAACUAAAUCACCUGCACGCUAUAUUUCAGAAAAAUCGUCUACAGCUUAGUCACGCCUUCAAUACGUAGGUAGACAAAAAAGUAAGAUCAAUGAUUAAUGAAAUUUAUUCAUGUGUACCACUGUACACAAAUACUAUAUUCAACAAAGAACGAUACGUAGAUAGAGAUAGAGAUUCUACGGUGUGCUCGGAGCAAGGAUAGCCAUAAGGUUGGAUGAGGUGAGCACAGAGACCAUCUGCCGGAGAAUUGGGAAGGCGAAUAUAUGAAACUCUGGCGGAUUCUCCGGCUGAACUGAGGAGUAAUACACUGAGCAACAAAACCGUCACCAGACGCUCCAUUUUCAGGCCACUGGAGUGCGGAAAACACAGCGGAACGACGGACCAACGGGCUGGGACCUCCCGGGAGAGGAGAGUGUGGAGUCUCACAAUGCUCCAGAAGAAAGAUGCGUUCGCAGGAAACCGAACGAGACAGUCAAGGACCUGAGAAGCUCCGCCCCUGUGUCGGUCAAGGACCUGCAUUUCUAAAAAAAUUCAACCCUUUCUGAAAAAUUUCUUGUUUGGGUCUCCUCGAAUCCUCCGUUCCCUUUACUGUACAGUAUACAGUAAGAAUAGACAUAGAAUCGCAUCUAAGUAUCUAACGUGAAAAAAAAAAAAAAAAACUUCUAAUACAAGAGUAAUAGCUAGUUUGGGAGGAUGGAAAUGAAAAGAAAAGAAGAGAAAUGAUAAGUUAGAAAAGAAAAGAAAGGAUCAAAGUUUCUAUCUAAAUUGUUUGGAAGUUUUAAAAAAGAAAAGAAAGUGAGUAGUUUUCUUUUGUUUGGGAGUUGAAUGUAAAAGAAAAGAAAAGAUACUUAAACAAAUUAUUUUACAAAUAUGCCCUUUCUAUAAACAAAUGUGAGAAGGAUUCAUCGGGUAUUAAAAUGUUUUGUAUCAGGAUUUUAAGGAUAAUUUGGUCAUAUUGAAAAAUUUACUUAAACUUCUGUCCGUUCCUUCCCUUUCCGCCCAACAUUGGGCGGAAAGUUUUCCAAAAGAUGAAGUGGAGUGGAAUCUUUCCUAUUCCUUUCUUUUCCUUCUCAUUUUAACUCCCAAACAAUGAAAAAACUUUUUUAUCCCUUCAAAACCUUUCUUUUCUUUUCAUUUCCAUCCUCCCAAACUAGCUAUAAGGGUAGAUAUAUAAUAGAAUCUAACGUGUUAAAAAAAAAAAAAGAAGAAAGAUAGAGUAUAAAGAGAGAGAUUCUCUUCUGUCCACUUGGUACCGACACAAACGCUCUCUUACAGCGCGUCCGGUAUACCUUUCUUUGCUCAAGAGCCAAGCAUAACGUCAGUUGAUGAAGCGGAUCUAGGAGUGGGCUAUAAAAGCUCACCUAUUUGGGCUAUAACAGUACAACAAUCAUGGGCUUGUCACUGGUCGAUAUUUAAAAAUCAGGCUAGUCCGCUGAGCUAAUUGUUUAAGAACUUUUAACAUUUCCGAUACUAAACUUUCGUAUUGUGGGCUCCAACAGAGAACGGGCUUGUCGUUGCAAGUGCCGUGGAAUCCAUUGCACUAAUUAGAGUGAAUAGGUAUCCCAAAUUCCGCUCAACCGGUCAAGAGUGACUUGCACGGUAAUCAUGAGAUUUUCGAUCUGUUUGGAGUUGCGACAGCUUAUUUAAAAAUACUACUCCUGUAAAGUUUUGAAUAAAAAUAUUUAUUAACUGCUAAGUGCUUUUAAAUUUAUUAUUUGGAGAGACACAGUUUAAUCAGUACUUAUUGUAUUAAAUAAUGUGUAAUUUAAAUUUUAAAAAAAAUAUCUAUCUCUUUAUUUGGUAUAACAUAUAAUUAAAUUUGAUGUUUUAUUUUUUAAAUCAUAAAAACUACUCUAAAAGCACUAAAUUUGAGCUUUUGUUAAAGUGCUUUUAACACCAAAAAUUCUACUCCUAAUUUUAUGGGAUGAUAUUCACCAAACAUUUUAAAAGUACUUUUUAACACAUAAAAGUGCUUUUUUCUUAUCAAAAGCACCGGAACCCAAACGGGGCCUUAGUAACUACCAAAUUUUCUGAAUGACUUCAAGAACCUAAUCAUGUCAUCAUACAAGUCUUCCUUUGAUCUUACACUCAGGAGGAAGUCUAUGUGACCGUAUUCCUCAAGAAAAAGCACCUCUGGCUGGCUUUUUAGUUCCUUCA